GCGGGCGCUGCCCGCGGCCGCGGAGCGCCGGGGCGGGAGCGCAGCCCCGCACCUGGGCACGGCACCGCCACAGCCCCGCACCUGGGCAGCGCUCACCUGAGCCCCGCGCCUGGGCAGGAUUCACCUCGGCUCCGCACCCGGGCAGGAACCAUCACAGCCCCGCACCCGGGCAGGACCCGGCGCAGCCCCGCGGGCGGACAGCGCGGACCCCGCGUCCUGCCCCGCCGCCGCGAUGAGGAGCCGCGCCGGGGGAACCGCGCCGGGCGCCGCGGGGCUCUGGCCCGGCCAUGGAUGAGGUCUCUUCUGUGGACAUUGAACUCCCAGCUACCUAUGCCUAUUGCCUGUGAUGGAAGAACUGGAUGUUAAUGUGAGUUCGAGUGAGGGCUUCGGCAUAGCGGAGAAGAUCGUGCUGCUCACCUUCAUCUCCGCCGUCAUUCUGAUGGCCAUCCUGGGGAACCUGCUGGUGAUGGUGGCCGUGUGCCGGGACAGGCAGCUCAGGAAAAUCAAGACCAAUUAUUUCAUUGUUUCCCUUGCCUUUGCGGACCUGCUGGUGUCAGUGCUGGUGAUGCCCUUCGGAGCCAUUGAGUUGGUUCAGGACAACUGGAUCUAUGGAGAGAUGUUCUGCCUGGUCCGGACGUCCCUCGAUGUCCUGCUCACCACAGCAUCAAUCCUGCACCUGUGCUGUAUCUCGCUGGACAGGUACUAUGCUAUCUGCUGCCAGCCUCUGGUGUACAGGAACAAGAUGACCCCACUACGCAUCGCUGUAAUGCUCGGAGGGUGCUGGGUAAUCCCAACAUUUAUUUCUUUCCUCCCUAUCAUGCAAGGCUGGAAUAGCAUUGGCAUCAUUGAUCUGAUUCAGCAAAGACAGUUCAACAAGGCUUCCAACUCCACCUACUGCAUAUUCAUGGUCAACAAGCCAUACGCCAUUACCUGCUCCGUGGUGGCCUUCUACAUCCCCUUCUUCCUGAUGGUGCUGGCCUACUACCGCAUCUACAUCACGGCGCGGGAGCACGCCCGGCAGAUCCAGGUGCUGCAGCGCGCGGGGGCCCCCACGGACGACCGGCAGCACCCCCCGGACCAGCACAGCACCCACCGCAUGAAGACUGAGACCAAAGCUGCCAAGACCCUGUGCAUCAUCAUGGGGUGCUUCUGCCUGUGCUGGGCCCCCUUCUUUGUCACAAACAUAGUGGACCCUUUCAUAAACUACACGGUGCCGGGGAAGCUGUGGACGGCUUUCCUGUGGCUGGGCUAUAUCAAUUCAGGGUUGAACCCUUUCCUCUACGCCUUCCUGAACAAGUCUUUCAGACGUGCCUUCCUCAUCAUCCUGUGCUGUGGGGAUGAGCGAUACCGAAGACCUUCCAUCCUGGGGCAGACGGUGCCCUGUUCCACCACCACGAUAAAUGGAUCGACGCACGUGCUAAGUGGCUGUUCCUCUGUCUCCAAGCUCCUCCUGCUCUUCUGCAGCAGACCAGCUCCUGUCUAACCAUGAACAUGCUCUGGUAAACAGCUGGAAGUGUUGAGCUAACAACUGCCAGAGGCUUCAGACAGACACUUUGUGCCACACGAGAUCCCGGGACACCUUAAUGACUUCUCUUUAGCUUAAUGCAUCUCUGUAACAAACGGCAUCACCUGCUAUUGCUGAUCUUGCACCACUUUCUGACUGCUGCAGAAGAACAAGGAAGGUACACUGUUUUACGCAAUGGGCAUCAUCAGGAACAUGAGAAGCUUCCCAUCCACAACGACCCUGAAUCCCAAGAGUCCUGUUUCUAGUCAUGGUCCUAACAGAGGAAUGGUCCAGCUGAAAGAACCUUUUUGGGAUAUCCAAAGGAUUCAUGGACAGCAGGACUUGUUGAAAAAUCAUUCAUCUGCAUUGUCAUGGUGCCUCCUACACUGACUUCACAUGGGUGUCCAGCUGUGAGACGGACGGAAGGUACAGGACUCCUGUACCUGCAGGGAUGGCUGGACCAUGGCUAUGCCACAGCUUUAUUCCAGGAGGGGGUGAUUCCUGUCAACGUAAGGACACAAAACAAAUACAAACCACUCAGUGAAGGGAUUUCUGCUCUCCUUUUCCAGCUGCCCUCUGUGUACAAGUCAUCUCUCUGUCCUGCAGUCUUAGAGAUCACAAGGUCUGGCUGAAGCCCUAUCAGGAUGUGAGACUAAAGCCCUGCUUUAUCUGUGCGAGAUCCUGCCCGUGGUGACUGGAUGGUCGGGGGAGAAACAGCACUAUGUUUUCUUCAGCAAAAUAAGGGGGAACAUUUGCCCUUUGAUUAUAGCU